rnacentral:rRNA from 1 species
CAGUCGCCGCGGUAAUACGUAGGUGGCGAGCGUUGUCCGGAAUCAUUGGGCGUAAAGGGAGCGCAGGCGGGCAUGUAAGUCCUUCUUAAAAGUGCGGGGCUCAACCCCGUGAUGGGAAAGAAACUACAUGUCUUGAGUACAGGAGAGGAAAGCGGAAUUCCCAGUGUAGCGGUGAAAUGCGUAGAUAUUGGGAGGAACACCAGUGGCGAAGGCGGCUUUCUGGACUGCAACUGACGCUGAGGCUCGAAAGCCAGGGGAGCGAACGGGAUUAGAUACCCGUGUAGUCCCUGUCUCUUAUACA